ACAACCUCUGUUUACACCUCAAUGAAUUCUGAAGCGAAAGUCGAUAUAAUUGAAUCACAUUUCAGGUUAAUUAUCAUAAAUCGCCUAACAUAAUCGUUGAUAUAUAUACAUGAAGCAAUUUAGCGAAGAACAUGGAUGUUAAAAGGUUUUAUAACAGCGAUAUAUUACUGGGCUAGUAAUGGACAAUUUACCGAUGGGUUGCAUGUGGGCUUUUGGUCACCAUGUAACGAAUGAACAUUAGUGUAAAGGGUUAAUAAAUGGGUCAAUGAAGAUUCGUCUGCUACAGCUAUGGUUAUGGAGUUCUAUAUAUACAAGAUUUGCAGCCUUGACCCUGAAAUUAUUGGCUUAGGUACUGGUUGUAUGGUCGAACCACAUGUAAGGCAAAGACUUUCAGAUUUAGGAGGAAGAAAUAAGUUUUCCACUGAUGGCGGCUGUUAAUUUGCAUAUACAUGUAAUGCAUUAUGUAAUAAAGUGAUUAUAUUCUAAA